AUUGAACGCUGGCGGCAGGCCUAACACAUGCAAGUCGAACGAGUGGCGGACGGGUGAGUAAUGUCUGGGAAACUGCCUGAUGGAGGGGGAUAACUACUGGAAACGGUAGCUAAUACCGCAUACCCUCGGAUGUGCCCAGAUGGGAUUAGCUAGUAGGUGGGGUAACGGCUCACCUAGGCGACGAUCCCUAGCUGGUCUGCGAGGAUGACCAGCCCCACGGGAACUGAGACACGGUCCAUACGCCUACGCUAGGCAGCAUUGGGGAAUAUUUCACCAUGGGCGCAAGCCUGAUGCAGCCAUGCCGCGUGUAUGAAGAAGGCCUUCGGUUUGUAAAGUACUUUCAGCGGGGAGGCGUUACCCGCAGAAGAAGCACCGGCUAACUCCGUGCCAGCAGCCGCGGUAAUUC
rnacentral:rRNA from 1 species